UGUUAACAGUCACAUCAAAAUGGCAGAGGAGUGAAAAGCAUGAAGGAUCACUGGAGCAGGAUUUUUAAGCACGACAUUUGCAUUUAUAUUCCGCUGGGUAGAACUCUCCCAACUAUGAGAUGUCUUAAGUUGUAAUGUUUGUAUUAAUAACACAUGAGAAUACAUGAGGAACAGAAUGUCAUUUGAAACUGGGAUUCUUCAAGUAUUCUGGAAAGUUCCCUCUUAUUUUCAUUGUCAGCUGGCUGCACUCUUCAGCUCAGACCUGCUGUUGUCUUACCACUGGAAUCUUCUCACCCUCUGGCAGAAGGUCCUCCAGAGGGCUCUAGAGAAACAGUUGGGCCCUUGUUGGAAAAGAAUUGUGAUAGUUUCCAUGGAAUCCCUCCACCGCAGAGAAUACAUGCCAGGAUGCACAGGAUUCAGGAGAAAACCACGGAAGCCUCUCAGCAGGAACUGAAGGAGCACCCUCCACCAUCUCCCCACUGGGAGUUGGGAGCCAGCCUUCCCCAGGGAAAGUCUCUGUCUCAAAUACUUCCCAUUAUUUUAUGUUCUUAACGUGGAUGACCCACGUGGCGCGGCAGAC